rnacentral:rRNA from 1 species
GGGUUGUGAGGUUAAGCGACUAAGCGUACACGGUGGAUGCCCUGGCAGUCAGAGGCGAUGAAGGGCGUGCUAAUCUGCGAUAAGCGCCGGUAAGGUGAUAUGAACCGUUAUAACCGGCGAUACCCGAAUGGGGAAACCCAGUGUGAUUCGUCACACUAUCAUUAACUGAAUCCAUAGGUUAAUGAGGCGAACCGGGGGAACUGAAACAUCUAAGUACCCCGAG